CACGUAGGGGGCGAGCGUUGUCCGGAUUUAUUGGGCGUAAAGAGCGUGUAGGCGGCCAUACAGGUCAGCUGUGAAAACUCGAGGCUCAACCUCGAGACGUCGGUUGAAACCGUAUGGCUAGAGUCCGGAAGAGGAGAGUGGAAUUCCCGGUGUAGCGGUGAAAUGCGCAGAUAUCGGGAAGAACACCCGUGGCGAAGGCGGCUCUCCGGGACGGUACUGACGCUGAGACGCGAAAGCGUGGGGAGCGAACAGG
rnacentral:rRNA from 1 species